rnacentral:rRNA from 1 species
UGGGGGAAUUUUGGACAAUGGGCGAAAGCCUGAUCCAGCAAUGCCGCGUGUGUGAAGAAGGCCUUCGGGUUGUAAAGCACUUUUGUCCGGAAAGAAAAUCCUUGGCUCUAAUACAGUCGGGGGAUGACGGUACCGGAAGAAUAAGCACCGGCUAACUACGUGCCAGCAGCCGCGGUAAUACGUAGGGUGCAAGCGUUAAUCGGAAUUACUGGGCGUAAAGCGUGCGCAGGCGGUUUGCUAAAGACCGAUGUGAAAUCCCCGGGCUCAACCUGGGAACUGCAUUGGUGACUGGCAGGCUAGAGUAUGGCAGAGGGGGGUAGAAUUCCACUGUAGCAGUGAAAUGCGUAGAGAUGUGGAGGAAUACCGAUGGCG